UCUUAGGGAUAAGCAGAGAAAGCAAUUUCUUGAGAUGGAAACUACUUUUGGUGAGGAUACUGUGAA
rnacentral:pre_miRNA from 1 species